UUAAAUUACUUUGAGCUGCUGUGAUUAUCAAGUCAAGUCAUCCAAGACAGCUAGGAACACCAGAAAUGAUAUACAUACCUAUACAUACAUAAUAUAUAUAUAUAUAUAUAUAUAUAUAUAUAUAUAUAUAUAUAUAUAAUGUGUUGCCAUUUGAGUGUUGUCUUCAUUCAUUUUCACAUCCUCACGGAACGCAAACAUGAAAAUCUUGUGGUUUCUUCAAUGUCUCUUCUUCAUGGCUAUGCUUCUCAUCAAUCCAUCUGUUGCUCCCAAUGCACCAGCUCCUCCUUCAGGUGGUGACUUGAAGGUGCCAGAAGCACCCCCUCAACUGCUACACAAGGUCUCUGGUUCACGUCCAUGAAGAAUUUCUAGACAAGCUUAUAUAUAUAAAGUUUGCUUCUUCUAUAUAUAGUACUAUCUCUUUUCUUCUUAACCAGAAAUAAGCUUAGACUACUGUGUCUUUAGCUAUAUAUGUACAAUAAACUUUGAUCUUUCUUGUUGUGUGUAAUAAUAAUGCCUAUGUUACUUAA